CCUACGGGUGGCUGCAGUAAGGAAUAUUGGUCAAUGGACGAAAGUCUGAACCAGCCAUGCCGCGUGGAGGAUGAAGGUCCUAUGGAUUGUAAACUUCUUUUAUAUGGGACGAAAAAAGGCCUUUCCAGGUCGUCUGACGGUACCAUAUGAAUAAGCACCGGCUAACUCCGUGCCAGCAGCCGCGGUAAUACGGAGGGUGCAAGCUUUAGCCGUAUUCACUGGGCUUAAAGGGGUUGGUAAGGGAGUGGUGAAAUCCCCUAGCUUAACUUGGGAACUGCCAGUGAUACUAUCAGUCUUGAAUACCGUGGAGGUCAGCGGAAUAUGUCAUGUAGCGGUGAAAUGCUUAGAUAUGACAUAGAACACCAAUUGCGAAGGCAGCUGGCUACACGAGUAUUGACACUGAGGCACGAAAGCGUGGGGAUCAAACAGGAUUAGAUACCCGGGUAGUC
rnacentral:rRNA from 1 species